AAUCAACGCUGGCGGCGUGCCUCAGACAUGCAAGUCGAACGAUUAAAGCUCUCUUCGGAGAGUGUAUAGAGUGGCGCACGGGUGAGUAACACGUAAGUAAUCUGCCUUUGAGUGGGGAAUAACCCGGGGAAACCCGAGCUAAUACCGCAUAAUGCAGCGGCACCGCAAGGUGACAGUUGUUAAAGCGAGUAAUCGCGCUUAAAGAGGAGCUUGCGGCAGAUUAGCUAGUUGGUAAGGUAACGGCUUACCAAGGCUACGAUCUGUAUCCGGUCUAAGGGGACGGUCGGACACACUGACACUGAAUAACGGGUCAGACUCCUACGGGAGGCAGCAGUCGGGAAUUUUGGGCAAUGGGCGAAAGCCUGACCCAGCAACGCCGCGUGAAGGAUGAAGUAUUUCGGUAUGUAAACUUCGAAAGAAUAGGAAGAAUAAAUGACGGUACUAUUUAUAAGGUCC
rnacentral:rRNA from 1 species